rnacentral:tRNA from 1 species
GUAUGUAGUUUAGUGGUAGAAUGUUUGUCUAGCAUGCAUAAGGCUCUGGGUUCAAAUCCCAGCACCACA